AGGCAGCAGAAAAACUACUCCCUCCGUCAUAUCGGUUGUAAUAUCUUAUAAUAUGGGACCGAGGGAGUAGAUACCAAGGGAGCGCUUGUGUCUGACCUCCUUGAUCAUGCUCACGUCAACACGAGUCCUGGGCGUGGCAUUUUCUGAUUGUUACAAGUUCCAACAUAUAAACAUUAACGAAAGAAGAAAGAAAAAAGAAGCAAACAAGGUAGCUGAAUCUGCAGCCGCGGACAAAGUGCAAGCAAAAUGAUGGCGAUCGCCCAGAGCUAACAUGUUGAUCCAUUGGACAUCUCCAAAUAAGUAGUGCUACUCCACUUCAUUAGGACAUCUAUAUAUCAUCAUCUGUUCUCGGCCUGCGAUUGCAUUUGUUCGUGUCCUUCCCGGAAAUCGCAGCCGUGGUUGCAGCUACUACGGCUGCAGCAACCGCGCCGACCUUGAGGCCUCCCGUGAGCUUCAUAGCCCCGGCCAUCUUUGCAAACGCCGCCGCCCCCACCAACUUCGACCUGAAAGCCAUGGUGCGUUCCUGGGGCAGCUGUUUCAGAAAAUGAGCUAAUUCAGCAGCGAUCUCCUGUUGUUACGCAUGUUAUUUCUUCGAGUGCCUGUUUAGAGCAUCGAUGUAGAGUCAGCAGAGAAGAGGCUUAAGAUGUUUAUCAUGUGCAGUGGCCAUUUGUACUCACAAGAUAGCUGAAGAUAUAGACAAUUGACCAAGGAACGGCAGACUGAAAUCAUUUCUAGACUAGAAAAGAUUUGUUUCAGAGUUGUAGUGUUCGGAACUUCGAAUAUCCUGUAUAUAUCACCCCUCUUCACCAGCCUAAGACUUGUGCACAGGAAACAAAAUUCCCGACUACGAACUCUGCUAUGGAUGAGCUCGCAGGGUGAACCUUUCUUUCAAGUGCCAGACUAGAUCCAACAACACAACCAAAUAUCUCAAGACUUGGGUACACAGGAAACAAAAUUCCUGACCACAAACUCUGCUAUGGACGAGCUCGCAGGAUGAACCUCUUUCAAGUGCUAGAGCAGAUCCAACAAAACAACCAAAUACUAUCUAGCUAGCUGCUGGCUGCUAGAGGGAGAGAUUCUUAGGUACGAUCCAUACCUCGACCAGGAAAUCAGGAAGAAAAAGCAGCCGCGGAGCUGCCGGCUGGCUCGAGGGAGAGCGCGAUCAGCUCCCCAGGACGCCUCGCCUUGGACCUCGCAAGGAAGAUGGGGAGGAAUGUUUUGAGUCAACACGGAGAGGGCCCGUGAGAGUAUGAGCUAGUCACAGGGAGGCCUCUCAAGUCUUUUUCUUUUCUUCUCUUGGGAUGGGUGGGGGCCAAGCUUGGGAGAAGCUGUUGAACGAGCGAUCCCUUUGAAUUCUUCAUGCUCAAACAGACCGCAGAUGCAUGCACCUCCCUCUAUUCAUUCUCCCACCUGCUCCUCUCGCCAUCCAUGCGGGGAAGGGCGGACCAUUUUCCAUGGAGAAAGCAUGCGCCCCCAAUCAACGAGCUCCAUCGCAGAACUGCUCCAGCCACAUGCAUCUGCAAAAAAAUACUUCUCGGUAAAACUAUAAAGCAUGGCUAUAAAUUUUCUGUUGAGACGCAAAGUGAGCACUAAAAUUUAAACUACUGAUGGGUGAAGAUGAUCAGGCACACAUGCAACCAUAAACAACUUUAAAAACAAGCUGUAGAAACAAAUACUAGUAUAUUGAAUAUCCCCCUUGUCCCUCCUCUUGGUGAGAGGUCAUUGUGCUUAUCCCCACUUCUAAUAAAAGAAAUCCACGCAUCUGUCUUUGCCUGCCCAGGCAUCAUCAUGCACUAGCUAGUCAUUCAGAUUAAUUUAUUGUUACUAACUUAUUGCCCCGCCCAGGCAUCUUCUAGCUAAACAAUGCUUUAUUCACCAUAAAAAAUUGUUGGAUCAUUAACCAAGAGAGGGAUCAGGCCAAACGUUCACAUCAACUCCAGCUCUCGUCAGCUACAGAAUAAACCUCCUAUUGGGAAAUGCACGAAGCUUGCUUUCCAUCAAGGUGCAUUCAUCAAAGAUUGUUGCUGCUGAACCAAAAGACCGUUCGCUGGUCAGCAUCACUUCAUUCACAUCGACACAGUCCGAAUCGGUUGCAUCCAAAUUGCUCUGCCAACCGAAGCCCGUGCAGAAGACCAAAGGCUUUAGCAGUUCAGCUGUCACCUAUUUUUAUCUACACAUGCAGGACGUAGCAGUUCAGGACCAGCCUUAAAACCCUUAAUCAUUUGGAACAUUUAGCGCGGUAGUUGGGCAAAUGAGCUGGCAUGCUUAGCCCCGGUACCAACAACCCCCUCAAUUCAUGCAUCGUUCUUCUUCUUGUUGUCUUGAAGCCAGCAUGGGCUUGAUGAGGCGUUGAUUAAACCCACCAGCCCUUCACUGUUGAUCCGUCCUUUGGCUACACACAUCAGCAGCUGCUGCUUGGUCGAUUUUACACUGACCACUAUAGUCUCAGAUCCACACAGAAACAGUUGGGAUCAAUGGAGGCGACAGUGUUGAGCGUGGGCAAGUCCGCGGUGAAGGGGGCGCUCGGCUACGCCCAGUCCGCCAUCGCGGCGGAGGUGGCGCUGCAGCUGGGGGUACAGCGCGACCAGGCCUUCAUCAGGGACGAGCUCGACAUGAUGCAGUCCUUCUUGAUGGUCGCGCACGGCGAGCAGGACGACGGCAAGGUGGUCGGGACCUGGGUGAAGCAGGUCCGUGACCUGGGCUACGACGUCGAGGACUGCCUCCAGGACCUGGCUGUCCGCCUCGAGAAGCCAUCCUGGUGGCGUUUCCUCAGGACACUGCUUGACCGGCGCCAUGUGGCUAAGCAGAUGAAGGACCUGCGGGAGAAGGUCGAGGAUGUCAGCCAGAGGAACUUGAGGUACCGCCUCAUCAGGAGCCCUGCCGCUGCUGCUGACUCCAAGCAUGUCACCACCGCCGCCGACCAAAACUUCGCAGGCAGCGCGACGAUGUUCGGCAUCGACGAGGCGAGGCGUGCCAUGAAGCGGGACAGGCCGAGAGUGGACCUUGCCCAACUUAUCAACAGGGAGGGCAAGGACCUUGGAGUCAUCGCCGUGUGGGGAACAUGUGGUGUUCUUGGGCAGGCGUCUGUGAUACAGAAGGUGUAUGAUGAUGCAGACAAGUUUGAAUGUCGUGCCUGGAUCAAGCUUACACAUCCUUUUGAUCCGAUCAUGUUCAUGCGGAACAUUAUGAGGCAGUUCUAUGGAUGUUCUUUUCCAGAACUGGCAGCUGGGGGUCAAAGCUGUCAAGAAAGAGCAACCACUGUAGGGGCUUAUGUUCUCAAAAAGAUGCUGACAAUAAAGCAAGAAGAUUUGGUUGACGAGUUCAACGAGCAUGUAAAUAGCAAGAGUUACCUGAUUGUUCUUAAUGACCUGUGUACCAUAGAAGAUUGGAACUGGAUCAAAACUUACUUUCCCCUCAACAAUAAUGGGAACCGGAUCAUUGUAGCCACACAGCAAGUUGAAGUUGCGAGCUUAUGCGUAGGUAAAAAAUGCCGAGUCUCGGAGCUGAAACAAUUAUCCGCUGAUCAGACUCUCUACGUUUUCUACGACAAGGUAAUACUCAAUGUUCAUAAGAAAAUUUGUGUUACAUUAUUAAUUUUGAUUGAAGGCCACAUACUGUCAUCUACUCCCUCUGUAAACUAAUAUAAGAGUGUUUAGAUAACUAUUUUAGUAUUCUAAACGCUCUUAUAUUAGUUUACGGAGGGAGUACUUUGUAUCAUUUUUGUCUGAAAAUCUCAUUUUUAUUAACUGUUGUAUACAUUCAAACAUCAUUACCCCCACCUAUUCCAGGUAUAAUUUACGAAAGGGAAAAAUAUAUCGAAAUCUUGCUAGAGUUCUGUAUUUUCAAGACUGCAAUUUUAGAUGAUUGAGAUUUCUGAAAUUUUAAGUAACCGUGAAUUAGAAAAAGUAUUGGUUUAAUUGAUUGGCUAGGCAGUCAAGGCAGUUAUUCUCAUAAGUUGUAGUCUUGUAGAAAGAUUAACUAGAUAGCCGGUCCGAGACCCCUGCAUAUAUCAUUCAAGACUGCAAAACUGAAAACAGUAUUGCUAAUCAAAUAAUGCUCUGAAACAUAUAUACUACCUAAUAAGUGUUUGCUUAUUAUCUUACAAAAUGAUUUUUGCUUGUGUUCAGAGUCCUCAAGGUGGAACAUAUUCAAUGAAACCAGAGUCGAGCUCAAAUACAUCCAUUGCCACUACUAAUAGCUCUAUAGUGCCCAACAGUGAGAUAACAGCUGGUGAUCAGGCUAUAGAUUCCGCUGGUGAAAAAAACACUAUGCCCAGAAGGAGCCUCACCCGUAUCAUGUCGAGGACGGCCGCUUUGGAGGAAUCUCAGGUUGUUGGGAGGGAGACAGAAACAACUGACAUCCUCCAACUAAUUUUAGAUGCACCAAGAGAAGAAUUUCGGGUGAUCUCAGUGUGGGGAAUGGGUGGUCUUGGGAAAACUGCCCUAGUCAAAGAUAUCUACCAGAGCCAAGAGCUAGGCAGUGCAUUUAAAAAGCGAGCGUGUGUCACUGUCAUGGAACCUUUCAAUCAUGAGGAACUCCUUGAGAGAUUAGUUACCCAACUAGUUGUAGAAACAUCUGAAGAGAACGGUGCGAUGUAUUCAUUGGGUAGUGAGAAAAAAACAUUGGCAUGGUCACUUAAGGAGCUGAAGGCUGAGCUGGAAAGGCUUCUGAAAGAAAAGAGGUACUUGAUUGUUUUUGAUGACUUGUCAUCUACCACUGAAUGGGACUUGAUAAGUGGAAGCUUACCUCAGACAGAAAAUGCAAGCCGAAUCAUAGUCACCACAAGGGAAGUGAGUAUUGCCAAUUAUUGUUCAAAGAAACAAGAAAAUGUAUACAGGCUCAAAAGUCUAAACAAGGAGCAUGCGCUUGGCCUCUUCACAAAAAAGGUACUUCAAGAGUAAUGGUAGCGCUCCAUUUUGUUUGACUCAAAUUUUCUAUUUAGCACGGCACUACUUACUCUAACUUACAAAUAGGCCUAAAUCCACAUUCCAAAACGUUAAAAUUAUACCAUCCGUUUAUAGUAAUGCUUUGUAUGUUGAUUUAUAUAGUAGCAGCGCAGUUUGACCGUCCUAGCUAGAUUUAUCUUUGACCAGCAUUCAGUACAACAUGUGGAUUAUGCAACACUGACACAUGUAUUCGUAUCCAAAAGCAUUUUUCUAUGAUGGUGAUUUUGUGCAUAUAAGGAAAUAUAGUCAAACUUCAGCUCAUUAUGAUCAAACUAUGCCCUAUGUAUAUCAACAUAGGGUCAGGAGUAGGACAAUAUGAAGAAUAAUGAGGAUGAUAGAUAUGGCUGGGAUACUUACAGAGUGCACGACCAUCUUCCCUACUUCUAAUUCUGAAACAUAAUUGUGAUUAUAAGCUGAGACCACAUAUGUUUACUCCAACACAUAAAUAGCUAGCUAGGAUGACUAUUUCAUAUCUAAUUUGUUUUGUAGAGUGCUAAGUACUUGGUUGUUAAAAUUUCAGGUAUUUAAGGAGAAUGAAUAUCUGCAUCGGCAGUAUCCUGAGCUGGUUGAACAAGCAGAACAAAUCCUGAAGAAGUGCAAUGGACUUCCUCUUGCAAUAGUUGCCAUUGGUGGCUUCUUGGCAAACCAACCAAAGACUACCAUGGAGUGGAGAAAAUUGAAUGAGAAUCUUAGUUCUGAGUUGGAGAUGAUUCCAGAGCUUGACACCAUAAGAACAGUCCUUAUCAAAAGCUACAAUGGUUUACCAUAUCAUCUCAAAGCUUGCUUCUUGUAUCUGGCAAUAUUUCCUGAAGACUGCAAGAUUAGUCUAACACGUUUGGUCCGGCGGUGGAUAGCAGAGGGUUACUCAAGAGAGGUACGCGGCAAGUCUGCGCAUGAAGUGGCGGAGAGCUACUUCAUGGACCUUAUAAGCAGGAGCAUGAUCCUGCCAUCCCAACUAUCAAGCCACAGCAGAAAAAAGAUUGACUCUUGCCAAGUCCAUGAUAUUAUUCGUGACAUCAGCAUCUCAAAGUCAGCGGAGGAAAAUCUUGUUUUCAGAUUGGAGGAAGGUUGCAGCUUAAACAACCAAGGCACGACACGUCACCUCUCUGUCAGCAGCAAUUGGAAGGGAACCCAAAGUGAAUUCGAGUGCACGGUGGACCUGUCUCGUGUCCGAUCAAUAACAAUUUUUGGGAAGUGGAAGCCAUUCUUCAUUUCUGACAAGAUGAGGUUGCUGCGGGUGCUGGACUUGGAAGGCACUUCAGGUCUGGUUGAUCAUCAUCUCAAGCACAUUGGGAAGCUUUUCCACUUGAGAUACCUUUCCCUGAGAGGUUGUCAUGGAAUUUAUCACCUGCCAGGUUCUUUGGGUAACCUGAGGCAGCUCCAAACACUAGAUGUCAUGGGUACAAACAUAAUCAAGCUGCCAAAGACCAUCAUCAAGCUCAGAAAGCUACAACACGUUCGUGCCAGGGGCGUUGGGAGCAACGAUGAUUGUGUGUAUGAAGAGUAUCCAGAAGAGGUGCCGAGGAUAAUGAGGAACAAGCUAUGCAUCUUGACUUCCUCCUCGGUAGGAUUUUGUGUGGCAUGCUGUGACCCUCACCUUCUGAAGGAGUGCAUGGACAUCGAUGGGGACACCAACAGACGUGAUGUCUGCACCGCAUGCUGCUGCUCCUAUCUGCCAAUGCAGGUGACACGCCGGAGCCGACGCGGUGUUGCAGUGCCCAGAGGGAUCCACAGGCUGAAAGCCCUGCACACGCUGGGUGUCGUCAACAUCUCGAGGAGGAAGGCUGCCGUGCGAGAGGUAGCGAGGCUCACCGGGCUGCGCAAGCUGGGAGUGACCGGCAUCAACGAGACCAACAGUGGAGAACUAUGUUCAGCCAUUUCUAGUCUCAGCUCCCUGGAAACAUUGCUCAUGCAAUCUGAGGGGAAGCCCGGUUUAUAUGGCUGCUUGGAUGACCUCUCUAUGCCUCCAAAAAACCUUGAGAGCCUCAAGCUGUACGGUAACCUGGUCAGACUGCCGGCAUGGAUAAAUGGUGGGCUGCUACAAAACCUGGCCAAGCUCAAGCUGCGGAGCUCCAGGAUAUCAGACCAUGAUGCCGCCAUAAAAGUCCUUGGGAGCCUACCAAACCUAGCCAUCCUUCGUCUGCGGAAGGAGUCACUUGAGGGCGAAGAGGUCCGUCUCCGUUUCUGUCCGGGUGCAUCGUUCCCAAGCUUGAUGGUGCUGGAGCUGAGUUCUCCAGGUAAGCUCAAAUCUGUACAGUUUGAAAAGGGAGCAACCCCUAAGCUCGAGCUGCUGCAGUACUACGAUCAGCCUGACCAUGGUAAGAAUGAUGUUAUUUCAAAAGAAAAUGAUGAUCAGUUUGAAGAAGCUUCCAGUGUUUGGCUGUUUUCUGGGCUAGCAUCUCUGGGGAGUCUCAAGAAAGUUCUGCUAGAGGGUGGCAACUAUGAACACUACUUUGUACGGAACUUGCGGUCCCAGCUUGAGUUGAAUCAGAAUCGGCCUUUUCUCAAGAUGGACUGAGCUAAACUCUGGAAACUCUGAUUCUGCUCACCUGUUUUGAUCACCAUUAGUUAAGGUCAUUUUAGCCUCUGCCACUGGGUUGCUUAAUUUGACUUCUUUAAUUUGCUUAUUACAGAAAAUGUCUAGUUUACUCCUUCCGCGAGACUGCGACUAAAAUAUCUACUCCAUUGGGUCUCAUAUGAAAGACAUAGUGUGUUUGUUUAUUUGUGUUAGGUCCCAUAUGUGAGAAAGUAUAUUUGUUUAUUUAUGUCCCUUAGAAUGUUUCUAGUCCCACUGGUGGGUAGGAGUGCACUAUAUGAAAGACUAGUACGAGGAAAUUACUCAUAUUAACAUAUCUUAGGCCAUACAGAGUAAGAAUAAUUUAUGCCUAAUUUUUCGUAAUUUACUCUCAUGUCCCAGAGUAAUAUAUAAGAAACUGAAUGGUUCCCCUAGUUCUGGCAUGCAUGCUUCCACUUCCACAAUACAAGCAUAGCUUUAUAAGUACAUUCCUGGACCUGGAGUAUGGUCAGUGGUAAAUUUCACUACAUUCAUGAUUUCCAUCCUUGAUAACCGAUAUAGUAACAGAAUGUCAAUGAAACUUUUUACCUUAAUAAUGUUGAGAAAGCCUUUCCAAAGCGCAUUUUGGAUACUAGAAUGGAAGGAAUAUGUUUCACCAUGGAAAAGCUUUACAGCUGGCUAU
rnacentral:lncRNA from 1 species